UUCUUUCAAACUUUCAUUAAGGUGUUUGGUUUGUGAUGGUGUAGGACAGUGCAGUUCUCUCUGGAUGAAAAGCCUCCUUUUCUAAAUGUUGGCAUGCGCCACUUAAGAAGUUUGAUGAUAAAAUUUGUCAUCAGGCCUUGGUCUUUUUCUCUAGGUAACGAAGGGGAGGUGUGUGUGGGUGAACUUUGAGGGGCAGUGCUCCUUUGAGGCUAUGGGUUUUUAGAAUCUAGAAGUGCUUAGACAUCUGUGACACCCUGUCUUUAAUUGCCUCAGUUAAGGAGCAAUGUAGAUAUCAAAGAGAUUACACUAAUUAAUUUUAAACCUAACGGAUUUUACCUAAUAAUGACAUAUGGAUCAUGAGAACUACAGAAUUCUUGUUACUUAAUGACCUUGUCAAAACCUCAGCAAAAAGAGACCACCAGACUGUAGUGAGGCUUGUAGCAGCAAAAGGUCGUGUUCCUAGGAUGACUGCAGAUCUCUCCCCAGGCCUCUCGGUUAAAUGUCUCCCAGAGAAAACUGAAUACUGCCCACCUGGCCAUAGGCCCUUGACCCCCUUUCUUGGAGCAUUUACAAAAAAAGAGCUUACAAUUGUGAGUCCUUCCUCUGUCCCCUUGACAUGUAUGUGUUCUCUCCUACAAUUCAGGAGUAUCUAAGGACCUGAAAGCCAUUCCUUUGAAGUUUAAUCAUCUGGAAGGUUACUGUCUCCCAUUCUUGGUGGGAGGGUAGAAUCCUGACUUCAGUGAUAAUCGCCGGCUAGCUGACACAGCUGGUCUAAUCACUUUUAUACUGACUGACUUUGAAAUUUUUUGCAUGCAUUCCGGCUCUUUCACCCUCCCCUAUUCUCUCUGUAAGCUGCUCAAUUACCUCUACAUUGAAAUGGAAUGCUGCUCUUUCCCCUCCUGUUAGUAAUUACUGAAUAAAAUUAUUUUUCACCA